rnacentral:rRNA from 1 species
UACAGAGGGUGCGAGCGUUGUCCGGAAUUAUUGGGCGUAAAGAGCUCGUAGGCGGUCUGUCGCGUCUGCUGUGAAAACUCGGGGCUUAACUCCGGGCCUGCAGUGGGUACGGGCAGACUAGAGUGCGGUAGGGGAGACUGGAAUUCCUGGUGUAGCGGUGAAAUGCGCAGAUAUCAGGAGGAACACCGGUGGCGAAGGCGGGUCUCUGGGCCGUAACUGACGCUGAGACGCGAAAGCGUGGGGAGCAAACAGG